CUUUCUCCCCGGUUCUAUCACAGAGGCGUCGCAGUCAGCAGAUGUGGUGUGUGGAUGUUUAGAUGUUGUUGGUAAGCAGUAUGAAACUGAAAAAUAGAACUUGUAUCAUCCUGUGAGAAUAUAGCACGAGUGUGGCUCCUACUGUGUGUACUUAUGGAAGGAGUGCUGAAGUAUAACAUUUAGAUAAGGCUGGUUGGCAUUCAGGAGCAGUAAAAGAAAGAUUAGGAACAAAGCAAAUGUUUUGAUGUUGUGGAUCAUGAAACUUUUACUGAAAGAAGAUUUGAAAUGAACUGUGUGUUGUAUUUUUUGUAUUUAGUUUUUGUCAGUGAUGGGAAUAACGGCGUUACAAGUAACGGUGUUAUUAACGGCGUUACUUUUUUCAGUAACGAGUAAUCUAACUAAUUACUAUUCCUAUCGUUACAACGCCGUUACAGUUACUAAGAAGGAAACGCGGUCCGUUACUAUUUUUCAACAAACAGACGGUUGCAGCUGUGUUCAGCUUACCGCAUCUUAUAUCAGCUGCACGGAAGUAGCUGUAAGUAAUCUGGACGCUACAGCUUUAAGCAGCUGCGCGCUCCCGCGGACGGCAAUCACAAUCACUGUCUAGCACAACAGCUGGAGCUCAGGAGGCAAAACAAUCGCAUGAGUGCUGCUGUUUGACUGAGGAAGAAUAAAGUAGUCGUGGUAAGUCAAUCACAUGACCACUUAAAGACAAAGCAACAAGGUGACAUAUACCAGUUUAUAAAUUGUGUUGAUAGGCCACGUAAAACCAGAGUCAUGAUAAACAAGAUAUACGCGGCGUUUUUUCCUCAAUAGUUUCGCCAAGUUUACUGUCUAACGACAGCGCAGCGAGACCUCUCUGCUUAUGAGAGAAAAACAAAAAAACGGUUAGUUUUAGGAAUGACGGAGAGAGAGAGAGAGAGAGAGAGAGAGGGGGGGGGAGAGAGAGAGAGAGCAGAAAAAGUGUUGUGGAUAGUUUUGUGUUGUGUGUCAGAACAAUGAGGCGACUGCUGUCUCCAGGUAGAAACAGGAGUGAUACACCUGCUGCUGUCAGACCUGCAGGUCAGAAUAUCAUUAAGUGUCACACUUUGACAAGUUCAUCAGCUGGUAACAAACCUGUUCACAGCUCAGAUCCAGACUCAGAUUUGGUGCCUUUCAGUGUCUGAAGAUGUGUUCGAGUCUCUCCACCAGCCGCCUGAUUCUUCUGAUCUCCCUGAGUGUGAUGAUGCUCAUCUCUGUAUCAGGAGCUGACCACGUGGGAAAUACCUGCUAUAAAACAUAUUCUAACCAAAAUGCAAGAACCACGUUUGCACCUAAAUGGGCCAAAAACAUCAUCAGCUGCGUUGAAGACAACAGACAUGGCUGCCUUCAUGGCUAUGAGGUCAAAAUAAGCAGAGGAAGAACAUUUUUCCUCAGACCAAACACCGAGUGGCUUAAAAGGAAAAUAAAUGAGGGAACUCUGCUGUGUCCUCCAAUGUUUUCUAAAUGAUGAUGAUGGAAACGAUGAAACAAAAGCUGUAGGACACAAGACCCUAGUGUUUUUUGCCCAUUAUUCAUUAUUAAUUCUUUUCUUCUUUUUUUUCUUUUUUCUUCUUCUUUCACCACCACAGGGAACUCUGUUGUGUCCUCCAGUGUUUUCAAAUAAACAUGUAUAAGCUAUUAAUCUUUAAUGAGUCCUCCCACUGUAGUUUGUAUAUUCCAGCUGCACCACAGUGUUUAGAAGCAGUGACUGUCUGUCAUCUUGUCUCGUAGGUUUCUUAAUUCACACAGUGAUUUUCAUAGAUUUAAUCUAAGUAUAGAUGAUGAAAAUGAUGAAACAAAGUUAAAGUAAAGCAGCUGCUGGAAACAUUUCUGCUCAUUUAUUAGUUCACACUUUGACAGAAAUAUUUGUUAAGAAAUGUAAAUUAUUUUUUGCAAAUUAUUCAUAGCACCUUAACAGUCUUGUGUUCACAUAUAUAUAUAUAUACAAUACAAUACAAAACAAUUUUACUAUAUAACAUGUUUAAAGCCAGGGGGUACACCAAAUUGCUUCACAGUAAGGAAUAAAGAGUAAAAUGAUAACACUGAACAGUAAGUCAUUAAAACAAUGUAAAAUAGAGAAACAAACAAAGGCAUUAGUAAGUAGGGAUUGGCAGAAUUCAUGAUAAUCCCGAGAAAUGAGUAAAGAUACGCCAGUUAGUGAUUGGUGAGGAUUAGCAAAUAUACUACAAGUGUCAUUAAAUAUGAAUGUUAUUCUGUCUUCAAGCUGAGAACAAAGAUAAAUCAAUAAAAGCUUCUGAGAUCA
ensembl:lncRNA